rnacentral:rRNA from 1 species
CAGUCGCCGCGGGAACACGAAGGGUGCAAGCGUUAAUCGGAAUUACUGGGCGUAAAGCGUGCGUAGGCGGUUUGUUAAGUCUGUUGUGAAAUCCCCGGGCUCAACCUGGGAAUGGCAAUGGAUACUGGCUCGCUAGAGUGUGUCAGAGGAUGGUGGAAUUCCCGGUGUAGCGGUGAAAUGCGUAGAGAUCGGAAGGAACAUCUGUGGCGAAGGCGACUAUCUGGGCCAACACUGACACUGAGGCACGAAAGCGUGGGGAGCAAACAGGAUUAGAUACCCGAGUAGUCCCUGUCUCUUAUAA